ACUUGAGCUACCCCUCACCCUGGGCUGGUAUUCCACAAAGGGAAGGUGCUGCAGAAAACCAUGCUCCAGCUUCUCACUGUACCCACAAAUGAAACAGCCAUGGUUUCAACAGUUUCUAUGUUGACACAAAUCCAGCACUGGCUGUACUUCAAAACCCCUGACCACAGAGCAUAAAUGUUCUCUACCUGGUCUUCUGGGAUCCACUCUGCUGCCACUGGAGAUGAGAUGAUGGGUCAUUUCCCAGGAUAAGAAGAAGAAAAAUCUCAUACUAAAAGUGGCUGGUGGCUGAAUACUAUACAUCAGUGAGCAUUCGCCUCAUUACAGAAUUUUUAUGAUUCUUACAGUGCUGUAAAAAUGUGAGGAGGUUUGCCUACAUGCUCUACUAAGAAGAUAAAUCUGCCUUCUCCCUUUCCUAAAUAAAUAUCAUGAAAAUAGAUUAGAUCUUUGGGAUGUAUGUGGACAAAUUUGGCAGCCUCUUAUUAUUUUCUAGGACUGUAAGACAUAACAGGCUCACUAAGAACCUUGUCUUUUUAAAAAUCUGAUUAUGUUGCUUGUUUUAGAAGCUCAGGUAUGAAAAACUUUUUUUAUCACAAAAGUGUUUCUUAUGUUUUCUAACUUAAACUGAUUGCUACUUAAAAGGAAGCAUUUGCUGCUCAGAGAGAGAUUUAGCUCACCCUGAAAUUGCAUACUAUAAACAGGAAAAUACUGAGAUCCUCAAUAUUAGUAAUAGUCAUAUGCUAUGCUUUUUUUUUUUUUUACACACUGUUGAAGAGUCUAAAGGUCUAGAUCCUAUAUAUGGCUUUCCACAGAGCCUUGUAGAUUCAAGAGGGACUCUGUACAGGUGUUACAUUAGACCAGCGAUUCUCAAGCAAGGUGUUGUGGCACCCUGGGGUGCUUUAAGAUAUUUCAAGUGUGCUAUGGAAUGCCAUGCAGUGUUAUUACUGUUGGGAUGAAAACAUAAUUAGCAAGAUAAACCCAGAGAUUUAAAAUAGGAAUGCAUGGUGUCAAAUACAUUCUAACCCGCUGUGGUCUUUCUGAGUUAUUUGCCACAUAAGAACUGUUCUAUUAUUUUUUGUAGUAAAAAACAAGUGCAAGUAUUUAAAAAAAAAAAGAGCUGGGGUUUGUUUGUUUUUUUGAGGGGUGCCUUGCGUCUAGCGAGAGGGACCUUGAGUCUAAAAAGUUUGAGUGCCACUGCCCUAGACCCUACCUAGGCCCCAAUUUAGUAAGGUAGAAAAAAUGUGUGAUUUUAAGCACAUUUUAGUCCUUUUGAAAUCUAUGGAUACAUGCAGACAUUCACCAUAACCAGUCUACAAUCACGUACUUUAUUUUAACCUGCAGGAUUGUAAAUUGGGUCCAGCUGAUGCAUAUAUUUACCAAUGCCAUGAUCUAUGUUUGGAACCCAAUCUAAGUUGGGGUGUGGAGAGGAGCAGGCAAGA